CCCUUAGAUGUCCGGGGCUGCACGCGCGCUACACUGAAGGAAUCAGCGUGCUAAAACCAUUGUCGAAAGGCAUUGGUAAACCCAUUAAAAUCCUACGUGAUUGGGAUCGGGAAUUGCAAUUAUUUCCCUUGAACGAGGAAUUCCCAGUAAGUGUGGGUCAUAAGCUCGCGUUGAUUACGUCCCUGCCCUUUGUACACACCGCCCGUCGCUGCCCGGGACUGAGCCGUUUCGAGAAAAGCGGGGACUGCUGCUGUCGGGGCUUUCGGGCCUUGGCUUCGGUGGAAACCGCUUUAAUCGCAGUGGCUUGAACGGGGCAAAAGUCGUAACA
rnacentral:rRNA from 1 species